rfam:Oryza sativa Japonica Group DNA, chromosome 11, cultivar: Nipponbare, complete sequence.
UAUGUAACUCCGCCUAUGUCAUCUUAAGUUUAUCUAAAUGAUAUAGCCGGUCCCAAGCCCGGAAAAAGGAGGAGGGUAUA